UGCAUGUUUGUUUCUGAGUGGUCUGC
rnacentral:piRNA from 1 species